AGAAAUAAGUAUAGAAAAAUAUAUAGGCCUACAAGUUAGUAGCAUAAUAAAAAUAUCACAAAGCCGACUGAGCAUACUUGUCUAGUUUCAGGAGUUACAUAUAAGUAUUUAAUUUCAAAACAAUAUAUUCUUAUUAUAUAUAAAUUUUAUAUAAAUGAAUAUAUUGAAAUUUAUACAAAUUAAAGAAACUAGUAUUUUUAUUUAUUUAUUUUGUAUUAUUAUUAUUAUUACUUUUUUUUUUUAUUAUUGUAAUAUAAAGUCAAAUUCUUUUCUUAUAUUUUAUCCCCCCUCCCCCCCAUUUUUUUUUUUAUUAAACCCGACUGUUUACCAACAAUUGUGCAAUGAAUUACGCUAAUUGAAUUACAAUAAAAGUAUGUCAACUCCAUGCUUACAAUAAGAUAGAUAUUUUUUUUUCAAAAAUUGAUAAAUAUAACCAAAAACCGGAAGUUGUCGUCUGAAGUAGAGUUAUCUUUUCUUGGCCUAAGAGUUCAAAACUGUGCAGCAAGCUGGGAUUUUAUGUGGAUAAAAACUAUUUACAUUGGGAAUAUUUGGAAUAUUUGAGUCUGGAUAAGUUCUAGGACAUCAUUUGCAUUAGUACAUACGAGGAUUUGUGUAACUUUUUUCAAGUAAGGUGUUUUAUGACUUUGUUUACAAAUCGUGUGCUACUUUCGAUUCUUCCCUUGUGUAUUUAUAUAUGUGUGAUAGAGAACAGAGCGGAUAAGAUGCCCCUGUGGCGGGAGUCAACAAACAUGACAAAAAGAAGACGUAGAAAGGCUGGGCAGGAAAUUCUGGAUUCUUUCAAUAAGGAUUCUUUCUAUAUCAAAGAAACGCUGGAAAAGGGGUUGAUGCUUCACAGGAAGACGGUUCGUUUGGACGCCUGUUAAACGAUGAUCAUCUUCAUCCAAAUUGUAAGCCAAAAGUCAUUGAGAUAGAUGAGAAGCCAGUUAUUUGCUUUUACUCUCUAAAACCAAUACUUCCAGAUACAGAACUGUUGUAUGAUUAUGGGCCUGGUAACAUGUAUCCUUGGAGAAGAAAGAGGAAGUAAAGGAUAUUGAUGCCAGUUCUUGUGUGGAUGAUGAGGAUCAGAGUGAGGAGGAAAUAGAUGACAGUCAAGACAACCAGAAUUUCCAAACUGUGACUCCAGGGAAGAGGGAGGCAGUAUCUGAUAGCGGAUGCUCCAGAGAAAUAGAUGAGUCUUCAUCCAAGCGACAGAAGUUACAGAAAAAGCCAUGGACUUCAUCUGAAAUGAACUCCAUUCACAAACAUUUUUCACACUUUAUUACCAUGUUGAAGGUACCUGGGAAAAAUGAUGUAACAAACGUUUUGAAAAAAGAUAAAAACCUUUCAAAAAGAACUUGGAGAAAUGUAAGAGACCAAGUCUACAAUCUAAUUAAAAAACAGAGAAAAUGUUGAUUUUGAUACUACUUUGAUUGUUCACUAGAAUUGAUGGUAUCUGUAUGAAAAAUGAUAUUUUUGUUUACAGUUCUUACAAUUUACAUAAAUUGCACAUAAAAGAAUUUGUUGAAUCAUUAUCAAAAUAGAUUUUGACAAAUUUCAGCUUUUUAGCUCAUAUGAGCCAAAGGCUCAAGUGAGCCUUUCUGAUCAAAAUUUGUCUGUUGUCUGUCAUUGUUGUGACCGGAAGGUCAGAUGUUCGAAUCCCUGCUGUGACUUGACCUGAGUCAAUAAGAAAUAGGUAGCAACUGUUCCAUGGCCAAGCGCUCAACACAUUGAAAUAAUAGUUUCAGGUCUUUCAGAUGAGACCUUAAAAACUGAGGUUCCGUGUCAUGGCAGGUGUUGACAUGAUAAAGAUCCCUCACUGCUCGAUGGCCCUAAGUUCUGAGUAAAGGUCUAAAUUUGAAGCCCUUCGCUGGUAUAUGGUGAGGUCUCUAUAUGACUGAAAAUCUCAAACGGGAUGUAAAACAACAUACAAUCAAUCUAUCAAUCAGUCAUUGUCAACUUUUUACAAUAUCAUCUUCUUCUCCAGAACCACUGGGCCAGUUUCAACCAGACUUGGCACAAAUUAGGAAUUCAAGUUUGUGCAAAUGAAGGGCCUUUCAAGGUCUUUCAAGGGAAAAUAAUUAAGAAAAAGUAAAAUUGGGUGUUGUCAUUCAAAAAUCUUCUUCUCAAGAAUCUUUGGGUCAGUAAAGAUGAAACUUAAAUGAAAGCUUUCUGACAAAGUGUAAAUUCAAUUUAUUCAAAUCAUGACCCCGGGGUAUUGGUGGAGCCAUUAUGGGCAAUCAAAGUUUUACAUAGGAAUACAUAGGAAAAAUCUUUAAAAUCUUCUUCUUAAGAACAGCAGAGUCAUAAUCAGUCACAUUUAUAUGGAAGCAUCGUCAGGUAGUGUAGAUUCAAGUUUGUUCAAAUCAUGACCCCUGGGAGUAGGGUGGGGCCAUUAUGAACAAUCAAUACCUAGGAAUACAUAGGAAAAAUCCUUAAAAUCUAUUUCUCAAGAACAGCAUAGCCAUGAUAAUUCAUUUUAUAUGGAGGUAUCCUCAGGUAGUGUAGAAUCAAGUUUGGUCCAAUUGUGGCCCUGAGGUACGGUGGGACAACUAUGGACGGUCAAAUUUUUUACACAGGAAUACAUAGCAAAAUUCUUUAAAACUAUUUUCCCCAUGAAUAAAAAAGUAAUGAUUAGUCACAUAUAUAUAGAAGCAUCCUAUGGUAAGCAUAGAUUCAAGUUUGCUCUAGUCAUGAAUCCCCCCCCCUCCCCCCUCCCACUACCUCCUGGGCUACAAUGAGUAAUCAAAUAAAAGUUUUUCAUAGGAAUAUGUGGGGGAAAAAAUCUUCUGAUUAAAAACAAGAAUGGUCAUAAUUACUCAGGUGAGCAUUGUGGCCCAUGGGCACAUUGUUUAAUCAAAAUGCAGAGAAUAUGUUAAUUUGCAUAUUACAUGUACAUGUAAUAUUGAUCAGUUGGUCAUGUGGUAUAAUUUUAUAUCUGAAAUUAAAUGAUGACAAUUGUAUGAAUGAUGAUGAGUUUAAAGUCAGAUUCUUUAACACAUGUAUUUUCAAGAAAAAAAUUAUCUGGAGGUAUUUUGGAAAUUUACUUUUUAUAGUAUUGUAAUAAAUGUUUGUUUUCAUGCUAUGUUGAAGGUCGAGUAUCUACGAACACAACUGACUUGAAUGAACAUCAGAAGUAUUAGAUAAUGUAUUUACAACUGAAACUGUAAUUGAAUUUUAUCAAUUGAAUUUGUGAAAUUAAUUUGAUUAUAAAUUCUGAUUUUUUACCUAAAUUUAAACAUUUUGUUGCUUAGUAGAUCAGACAACAUUUAAAUCAUAAGAUUUAAACAUGAUACCCAUAGGCCAUUUUACUUAAACUGUUUGUGUUGACUGAAUUGUUCAGUACUUUUUUGUCAGUCAAUAACUUAAUACCUCAGUAUGUGAGCAGUUCCGGGAGAAUGGUGUCUGGUGUGAAUAAGGGACAUGCAGUCAAUUUGUAGCUCAUGGAUCUAAAAGAGGAAUAAAUAUGAUAUACGCUCUG